UCACUUUGCGCACCUCCCAACACUGCCAUCGCGCUGUCGGCAAAUAUGGCGCCCGCUAGCAGUUGUUGUGCUGUCGUGUGCUUUUGUAACUAAAACUCCGUUUUGACAUCACUUUCAUCAUAAUCUGAACAAAAAUAAUAAUAAUAUAAAAA
rnacentral:sRNA from 1 species